CGAGACCGAUAGAGACCCGUAUUCACCCAAACAGUGUCAUGACACGUAUGAGAUCCGUAUAUCGUCCCUCCCCUUCCUUCCCUCGCCCCUGCUUGAUAGCUGAACGUGUAUUUCUACGAGACAGAGACGCGUAUUCACCCUGUCCGCUUCCUACGAGUCCAGUAUACGAAUCUGCCUCCCUCAGUCUUUCAUACACUGUCGCUCAGCUCAGUUAGGUCUGGAAGUCUCUGAAGGAUUCUAUUACUGGAAAGAUUUAUGCAUUGCACACUAGAGUCUCUGCUGUCUUGCAUACCAUUCUUGAGUUGUACAUGAAGCCAAGUGUCUUAGAAUCAACACCAUUAUCAGCUGUCAGGGUAAAAGACCCAAACAAUUUCGUUAAAUUGGAAGAGCUAUAUCUUGGAGGACGAGUAACUGCAUCCCUUCAGAAAUACCAAAACCUUGACAAGCAGCAACUGGACACGUUCAAGUUGAGAUGUCUGGACUUUUACAUAGAAGGAGCCUCUCAAAUUUUGCAAAGGUUUAAUCUCAGUGAUUCUGUAUUUACAAAUCUCAAGGCUCUAGAUCCACAAAGUGUACUGAUGAAGACAAUUCCCUCUGUUGCCCCCCUAGCUGCUCAGUUUCCUAACUUGGUGUCUGAAAAUGACUUAAAUGAGAUAGACGGUGAAUGGCGUUUACUGAAAACACUGAACUGAAUGUAGAACCUGAUAUUAAUGUAUACAAGUUCUGGCAAAAGGUUGGAGACUUGAAAAAAGGUGAUGAUUCCCCAUUAUUUCCACUACUAGGAAAUUUCAUGAAAAACUGUUGUGUCUUCCUCACUCUAGUGCAAGUGUUGAAAGGGUGUUUUCUCAAGUGAAUUUAAUGAAGACCAAAGUUCGUAAUUCACUGAACACAGAAUCGCUAAAUGGAAUGCUUCAUGCAAGGAAAAUUUUUGAAAAUUCAUCAGCUCACAGUUUCAAAGUUACACCGGGGCACUUGGAACUUAUGACAGCUGACAUCUACAAAACUUCAGAUCUACAGGAAUAGCAAUCAUUCUAGGCUCUUACACACUCUCCCACUCUUCUCCUUAAUCGUACACACUCGCCUGUUUCCUGUACGUAUACGGGAGGAGCGGGACGGGAGGGUGUCACUAGUUCCCUCUGGUCCAAAUGUUGACAACUGUGGGCUCACUGUAACAUCUGUAGGGUGAUGCGCUUGCUGACGGAAGGCGGCACCCCAUUGGAGGCAAUGCAGAGGUAGGCGCCCAUGUGUGUCCUGCUCACCUGCCGCAGCCCCAGCAUGGCCCCGUCAAGUUGGUGCACUGCAAAGAGGCGGUCAAGUCACGUGGGGCAGAGAAAAGUCAGGGGUGGUGGUGGUGGUGGUGGCGGUGGUAGGGUAAGAUCUAUAUAGUAGGCUUGUGGUAGUGGUGGUGGUAGUAGUAGUAGUAGUAGUAGUAGUAGUAGUAGUAGUAGUAGUAGUAGUAGUAGUCACAAGGAAACUAUGAAGAGCAUGAAUAAGAAUAAGAAAGAAGUAGUAUAGUAGUAGAAAUAUUAUUAUUAUCAUUAUUACUACUAUUAUUACUAGUAGUUGUAGUAACAAUAUGUUAUGUUACGUUAAGUAAGUAGUAGUAGUAGUGUUGAUCAUGAUGCGUGUAGGCGCUGGGCAGGAAGGAGCCACCACUAGGUAAGCAAGAGAUAGAGAGAGGCUGCUUGACGGGAACGCACACACAAAUAUACCUGCCUUGCUGCCCUGUGUGACGCCCCGAGUGACAUUAAGCCCACCAGUUCAAUACUCAGCUUAGGGGAGAGAAAGACAGAAAAAGAAAGAGGGAGAGGGUAGGGGGGAGGAAUGACUCAAGUACCGCUGACCGCUUCACCACCACCGCCUUCUCCGAUGUUAUAUUUAUCCCCGCCGCUUCUCUCGCCUGAAGGAAUGAAAGAGUAAAAACAGGUGCACCACGAUCCGUAACCUUGAGAAACAGACACGGAUUCCUCCCUUCCUCGAUCACUCCUUCCUUUAUUCAUCGGCUCUAUUCAUGAUUUUCGACUCCUCAGUGCGGUGAGCGGCGGAGGGUGUCACCUGCGGCGCCUUCACACCUGUGCUGUCUUCGGAGCCGCUCACCUGCUGCGCUUCCACGAGAGGCGAGGCGCCAAGUGCAGGGAGAGGUGGCAGGUGAUGAGGAGGAUGAGGGAUGCGAGGCUCUGGUUCCUUGGGUGACAUUAGUGAGGCUCUCAGGAGUUUAUUGACGUUCAUGUAUUCAAUUUCAUAUACGCGUGCUUCUUAUUUUGCUUUUUUUUUUUGUAAUUGAUGGUUACUAUACAGUUUUUAAUGUAUAUAGUUAUUGUAAUUUGGGUGAAAAAACUAUUGUAAUGUAGGUAUGAAGUAGAAAAAUGUGUGGCUAAUAGAACUACCCAUCUACGUCAAGAUGAGAGUGAGUAGUCCACAUCAGUCUAGACGAAACGAUAAUUACUCCCAGUGAUAGCACUGGUUCAGGGGGUGCUGUGAACUUACCAUUAAAGCCAGGUGUGACCUCACUGAACGUUUCCCUUUGUGUCUCACAACACAAGGGGGCAGUCACAGCCUGCCCUCUAAAGACAACUCUCUUCCUUUACACAAAACUACAUGCACUAGUUAUUCAUACAAUCUUCACGCAAAAUCAGAAAAAAAAGAAAUACAAUAAAAAGUUGACUCCUACUAUCAUCCUGGGAGUCCUCUUUUGAUUAUCUAUUUAGCUUGUUUAGGGACCGGCACCACAGUGGGCUAAUUUUUUUUUUCAUUUUUUUUUUUUUUUUUACUAUUCACAAUUUUUGUUGCCCUUGGCCAUUUCUCCUCUUACAUAAAAAAGAGUAAUGUCUGAAUGUGUGUCCCGGUGCGUAUUGUGAUGUAGUGCGAUAGGCAGCAGCGUGGCGGAGGUCAUCCCGUCUAGGUGUUGUGGUGCUAAUUGACGAGGGAACUUCUGCAUAUACACGAGACUUGGUGAUAUAGGAGUGGUAUAGGGCGCUCUUGUUACACCUGAGAUUUUACCCAUUGGAAACUAUUGUUUCAUGUCCUGAAACCUGUUAUCAGUUAUUCAAUAAAAUCACGCCUUGAAAAGUGAUACCGGAAGAAAAAUUUGAAAAAUCUUAGUCAGUUGAUAAAACUAUUUUCAACUAAUUAGAAAUUCAACUAAUUAGAAAUAAUACUAAUAAC
rnacentral:lncRNA from 1 species